AUUCUGAAGACUUCAGCUCUGAAGUUGCUGCCAUUUUAGUUGUGGGUUUUGUGGUGUGUGAUUUUUGAUCUUUGUGGUUUAGUGGUGGCUUUUGUUGUUGUCUUAUGACUGUCACAAUAGAAAUAAGCAGUCCACAGCCAUGAACCACCAAGGAAAGGAGGAAUGCUGUAAGAGACGCUCCCUUCACAGAAUACCAGGUUUGGGGUAUCUUUCCUCCUAGCAUUCUUUUCUGCAUUUCGGCUGAAUCUUUGCCACAUUGAGUGCAUUCAGAUUUCUAGGCAGACCCAGCAUUCACAUCUAGAUAUGUGUUUUCCCUGUAAAACAUAGAAUGUGCCUUAAGGGGUGCCGGGGUAGCUGACCUAUGCCCUCGCAGCCUUAUUCCUUGGUUUGAACUUUGAGAGCCUGUAACUCAAUGAUCCCUGUGGUUCUCUUCCAGCAUCAGACAAGAGAUUCACCCUUGCAGCGCAGAGGUGAUCAACAUGGGUUUCACCUGUCUGUGGGUACUGUGCCUCAUCUGAUGAGAGCACUGACCUAAUAAAUGGGAUUCUGGGGUCACAGAAUCACGGAACUGUAGAGGCUGGAAGGGGCCUCUAGGAAUCAUCGAGUCCAACCCUCCUACCUAAGCAGGCUCUCUAGACCAGAUUGCACAGGUCAGCUCCCAACAUUGGCUGAGUCUCAUCUAUAUUAAGGAAAGUUGAGCUCCGUGGGGAUCUGAAGUGCUUGCUGUGUUGUGCUGAGCGCUCCUGUGACUCAAGAGUCAUCAAAGUGCUCUCCAAAAAAGGAAUUUGUCCCCACUUUGUAUCUGAGAGAGAGGUAUUGCAUUACCUCUGCUUUGAAAAUGAGGAAGAAAGCGAUUAUGUGAUUCACCUUAAUUGCACGGGAAGCCACUUGGUCUUGUCCUAAUGUUACUGCUGAUCCCACAGGCUUGUCAGGAGGCUAAAAUUGGAUGCUUCUCUGAUCCGUGGAGACAAAAACGUGCUCUCUGACCCCCACGGAUCAGUGCUGUUCAUCAUCACAGCUGCUGCAGUUGUUCAGUGGGAGUGCUGAGGAUGGCCAUGACAUGCUGCUAGUUGCUCAAUCGCAAUUAAAGCGGGUUCGUCAGGUAUUGCUCAUCUGGCAAGUGCCUGAUGGGAGAUGGCUGUGCACUGACCUUUCAAGAUCGCAUCACUGCUUUGCGUGCUUGAAAAUAAGUGAAAAACAAAAUGCAGUUUAGGAAGCAGUUGUGAUAUGUGGCAAACCUCCCACUGAGCCUCACCUCAAAUUUCUUGUGACUUUCCUUGUUCUUAAUAACCAGCAAAUAGGGAGCAUAGCUCACAGUGCAAAGGGUUCCCUCUUUCCCUCUCAUUCUAUAGCAUGUACAGUUCUGAAUCAUAACGUGGCCUGGGUUGAAAAGGACCCCAAUAAUCAUCUCGUUUCAACGUCCCUGCUAUAUGUAGGGUGGCCAACCAC